UAAGCCCAGCACUGAACCUCGUGUCUCCGGAUACCGAGGAAUGUAGUGUUCAGGAGAGAGGUGGUUUGCCUGUCCGGUGAUUGUCCAAGUCCCCAUGAUCGGGGCUAGAGUCCGCAGAGGGUGUCAGGCCCGUAGUGACGCACCGCGACCGUGAACGCUUGAUCUCCUAAGAGUCGGGUUGCUUGAGAGUGCAGCCCUAAGCGGGAGGUAAACUCCUUCUAAGGCUAAAUACCGCCACGAGACCGAUAGCAAACAAGUACCGCGAGGGAAAGUUGAAAAGAACUUUGAAGAGAGAGUUCAAGAGUGCGUGAAACCGUUCAGGGGGUUAAACGGGUGGGCCCUCGAAGGUCGAACGGCAUCUACUCCCGUUACCUGCAUACGAGCCUGCGCUGGGACGAGUCGCAUUCUGCGGCCGCCGAGUGUGGUACGCUUGGGGCGUGCAGGGACCGCUAGUUGGAUGCCUAGUAGGACUCCGCAACCGGCUGUGCGGUCGUCAGACGGGUCUUGAGGAGCGGCCUCCUUGUGGGGUUGUCUUUUUGAGAUUCCCGGCGACCACUCGGCCGUUGAGUGCUGCCUCGCUGUUCCUCAUGGAUGGACGAGCGUUUUGACCUUUGCGGGGAGAAGCGUUGUCGGUUCGUUCGAGGCUCCGGUGAGAAGCGCGGAGAGUAGGUCGGGUCCCACCCGACCCGUCUUGAAACACGGACCAAGGAGUCUAACAUGUGCGCGAGUCGUCGAGUUGUACCAAACUCGAAGGCGUAAUGAAAGUAAAGGCUAGGCUUGCCCUAGCUGAGGGGAGAUCCCGUUUCUGCUUCGGUAGCGCGGGCGCAUCCCCGGGGCGUCUAGACUGCGUUGCCAGUCGGACGCACCUAGAGCGUACACGUUGGGACCCGAAAGAUGGUGACCUAUGCCUGGCC
rnacentral:rRNA from 1 species